rnacentral:lncRNA from 1 species
UUUUAGGACCGCACGUGCAGCAUAUGGAGGUUCCCAGGCUAGGUGUUGAAUCACCGCUGCCACUACCAGCCUACACCAGAGCCACAGCCACACCAACGCCAGAUCCGAGCUGCGUCUUCGACCUACACCACGGCUCAUGGCAAUGCCUGAUCCUUAACCCACUGAGCGAGGCCAGGGAUCGAACAUGCAACCUCAUGGUUCCUAGUCGGAUUCAUUUCCACAGCACCACGACGGGAACUCCUGGAAACAGUAUUUCUGAAGCCAGCUUGAUACACAACCUAAAGCUAUUUCUUUUGACUAAAAUGACUCAUCUUGCCCCAAGCCAGCCCCUGAACUUGGACCAGGGAUUGGUGUCUGACGGAGAUAAGGUUUGAGAUGAGUGUCUCUCUACUUGUGGGCCUGGGUUUUCUAACCUGUGAUAUCAAAAGAACCCCACAACCUCUGAGACCCCUUCUCACCUUUAACUCCCCACCACCAUCCUCCAAAACACACGCACACACCCUGGUGGCUCUCGGUCACCUUAUAAAACAACGUAAGGCAGGAGCUUAGGGACAGAGAGAGAGAGAUGCAGGGAAUAGAGAAGGUGGCAGAAACAGAGGGAAGGGACAGAACAGAGAACAAAGAGACACAGCAAGAAUCAGAGGACAGGCAGCCAGAACCGAGGCCCUCCAGGGCUGGCAUCUGCCCCGAGGAGCGCCUGAACAGAAGGAUCCUUGCUGGCUCUUCAGAGGCACCUCAGAGACGCUCCAGUGGCCAUGAGAUGGGCCAACACUCGUCCCCAACACCUCCUCUGCCCCACCCCCUGCUCAGCUGCUCAGACACCCAGUCAGAGGGUCCAGGCAGAAUCCUCCAGGAGGGACCCCAGUACUCACUCUAGCCCCCCGCUCCUGGAGGGAGGAGCCAGGCUCUGGCCUAGAGGCCUCUGGGGGGUGGAGGUCAAGGUCAAGGUGGGAUGCCCCCAGUCCAGAGGAGCAGGUCCUGGGUCCGCAAUGGAAGCCAGAGGCCAGCCCAAGUCCCUCUGGGCAGGGCUGGGCAGGGCUGGGCAGGGCUGGGCUGGGGCAGAGGCAGAGGAAGGCGGGAGGCUGGGUGGUGUGCGCGCACGCACACACACACACACACACACACAGCCUUCCUGACUUAGCCUAAGCCUCGCUCAGGAGAGGAGCAGUCUUCUCUCUGCCCUUGGAGCUGCUCUCUUGCUUCCCCGCCCAUCUGUGCUGUCAGCAGCACCAGCAAAGUUGGCCUCAAACUUGAAGGGACCUGAAGGCUCCGGCUUCCUCUGAACUCGGCUGGCCUGGAGAAGCCGAGCCUCCCAUUCCCCCGCUGGCCCUCGCUCUCCUGGGUGACGCCUCUGCCC